rnacentral:lncRNA from 1 species
AUUAUUCAUUAUUUCUUCUGUGUGAAUUAUCAGAACAUUUAUACUAUGGUCAGCAAGUGCUCAUUGACUUCUCAGUAAAAAAUAACUAUAUCCACAGAAAACAGAAGAACUCUGACAGCAAAAAAAAAGGAAAUGAAAUUGCAAACUCUAAGAUGUGGAAUGAGUAUCUACAUGAGAUCAAAUGUCUGGAGAAUAUAUGAAAAGAAAGAAUGUGAGAGACCCAGAUUCAGCCUUCAAGAAUCACGUUUGGUGCGCCUAUAACUAAAUGCUGUCAGCUCAAUCUGACAAAAGUUCAAAUGAUCUUGAUUGAGUUAAUAAUCACAAACAAGAAUUUGUUAUCCAAAUCUGAAAGAGAACAACCUCCUAGGCAGCAACAUAACCACAUUUUAUUUAUUCAGCAGAAACUAAUUAACAAAAUGCAGAUUUAAAGGUGGUAAAGUACAUACAUAGGGAGAUCUGUAGAUAUAUGAAAGGCACUCAGAAAAGAAAAUAUAUUAAUGCAGUACAACUAACCACUAGCAAUAAAAGUCUCUCAGGAGGUGCCUGUAAAUCUCCUCCUUACUGGAAGUCUAAAAUAAGAGGAAAGAGAGGGGGAGUGAGCUACCUCUUUUUUCACACCCUUUCCCAGAACACCUGGCAAUGCCCAUAGGGACUCAGAGAUGAGAAGGCAGCUGGACCAGAAGUGCCCUGUACUCAACAGAAUCACAAUCACGGAUUUGUAGUGACUCUGUCAUCAGUGGAUUUCAGCAGAAGUGCAGCACAUCCCAGGAUAGAUUCCACCAUGGUGAAAGCACAGCCCUCAGGGUUCCCUACAGUUACUCUUGAACACAUGGAAAUCAGCCUCCAACUCUUCUUGUUAGCAGUAAGUACUGAUAUACAGUGGCUAUGAAACAGCUUUGUUAAAUAAUUUUUGAAGUACAACCGAUAUUUGUUUCCUGGAGAAGAGAAAGAUGUUUUGUCCAAAAUCUUUGUGAUGCAUGUGCUGUAGCUUCUGACAAUCCUUCUCACCAGAAUGUAAUAGACCUCUCACUGAAUUUUAAGGAACUUGAAGGAAAUUUCCUGGCCACCUUGCCACAUUUGCAUCACAUUGCAGCAUGGCAGCUGGUUGACCUGGUCCUACCCACUCUCAGGCACUUACUCUCUACUGCAGGAAUGAGACUUUCACUCUCAUCCCACUCCCUCCAUAACACCAUGCCAUGGUUGGAACAACAGCAGACAAUACUCUGUCAUUUUCCUCAUCAGCUGAAAGGUUUUGCACGUGGUACUGAUGUGCAUAAAAUUCUCUGA